AGGGAAAGUGGAAUUUCCAAUGUGUAGCGGUGAAAUGCGUAGAGAUAUGGAGGAACACCAGUGGCGAAGGCGACUUUCUGGUCUGUAACUGACACUGAGGCGCGAAAGCGUGGGGAGCAAACAGGAUUAGAUACCCUGGUAGUCCACGCCGUAAACGAUGAGUGCUAAGUGUUAGAGGGUUUCCGCCCUUUAGUGCUGAAGUUAACGCAUUAAGCACUCCGCCUGGGGAGUACGGCCGCAAGGCUGAAACUCAAAGGAAUUGACGGGGGCCCGCACAAGCGGUGGAGCAUGUGGUUUAAUUUGAAGCAACGCGAAGAACCUUACCAGGUCUUGACAUCCUCUGACAACCCUAGAGAUAGGGCUUCUCCUUCGGGAGCAGAGUGACAGGUGGUGCAUGGUUGUCGUCAGCUCGUGUCGUGAGAUGUUGGGUUAAGUCCCGCAACGAGCGCAACCCUUGAUCUUAGUUGCCAUCAUUUAGUUGGGCACUCUAAGGUGACUGCCGGUGACAAACCGGAGGAAGGUGGGGAUGACGUCAAAUCAUCAUGCCCCUUAUGACCUGGGCUACACACGUGCUACAAUGGACGGUACAAAGAGCUGCAAGACCGCGAGGUGGAGCUAAUCUCAUAAAACCGUUGUCAGUUCGGAUUGUAGGGUGCAAGCUCGCCGACAUGAAGCGGGAAUCGCUAGUGAGCGCGGUUCGAGCCAGGGGGG
rnacentral:rRNA from 1 species